UACAGAGGUCUCAAGCGUUGUUCAGAUUCAUUGGGCGUAAAGGGUGCGUAGGUGGCGCCAUAAGUCAGGUGUGAAAUCUCGGGGCUCAACCCCGAAACUGCACUUGAUACUGUGGUGCUCGAGUACUGGAGAGGAGAUUGGAAUUUACGGUGUAGCAGUGAAAUGCGUAGAUAUCGUAAGGAAGACUAGUGGCGAAGGCGAAUCUCUGGACAGUUACUGACACUGAGGCACGAAGGCCAGGGGAGCAAACGGG
rnacentral:rRNA from 1 species